GACAGUCAGGACCAGGAGUCAAGGGGAGGAGGACCCAAGGGGAGGGGCAGGGCCAGCCCCCAGGAGUCUUCUUGUUUGAGCAAUGACUCCAAAAACAGGAAAAUAGUCUAGCUAUGGACCUGGAAACCUGGAGAGCAGGAGAGGCAGUGACUCAAAAGGGACAGGGGGCAGAGAAAAAACCCAGGGGACAUGCUUCCCUAGGUUCACCAGGAGCAGCUUCCAUUCAGACCACAGUAAUGGGCUGAGUCUCUAGCCUGGGAGAUCCUGUGGGGACAGGGUUUGUCUAUGAGAGGAGGCAGAGUCUCAGACCUGAGAAUUCAGGGGCAGGAGGAAGCGAAGGCAACAGCAUCAGCAGCCUCUGGUGCAGAGCAUGAAGACCUGGCACCUCUGUGAUGCAGAAAUGGAGAGGCGGGGCACCUGGGACCCAAGUGGGAGCACUCAGGCCCCACACCGAUGGCCCCUUCUGGGAUGUGGCCCAUCAGUCAGCAGGACUCCUGGCCCCCUUGCCCUCCUUUCUUCCUAGGGAGUCUCUGAGGCUGGGAGUUCUGUGAAGGUUCUGGUGAAUUUUCAGCAUGGAUGAGGCAUGGUCAGAAGAGCAAGCACCCUUUGAAACUCUUGCCCUCACCCAUGACUGUUUGACUUCUCAUGUGUGCAGAAAAGAGAUGUUUUGGGACAAAUUCAACUCACCAUCUUCUCUUCAGGCCUCAUCGGUCUUGCCAGGACCUCAGAUUCACUGUCUUGCUGCUGAUUUCGUGAAGAUAUUUUUAUUUUGCAGAAGGUACAUUUCCAAUUGUUCCUGAGAUGUCAGAUAUAAGUGAGCAAGGCAAGCCCCAGAAACACCUCCAUUCCCACAGCUGCCAUUCUUCUUUCAGACAUAGCUGAUGGGCACAGCCAGGGAAUGAGGGGACACCUCCAAGAUUCUCCAGGACUCUCAUGUGGUAACCCUGGCUCUUAGAGUAGAAGCAGCAGUUUACUGGGUGUAAUAUGGUGUCUGGGUGAGUGAUGGGCUCCCCUUUCUCUUUCUAAGCUGCUGGGAGCACAAGUAGCCAUGCCCAACAAGUCUUAGUGUUGGAAAUGGGCCUUAACCCCUGGGGUCCUUGUGCCUCUAUUAGCCAGUUGAGAACAUGGCAAAAUGAGGAAAAAUAUCUUUGUUUCAUGCCUUUUCUGAAUAAGCACAGAACACAGACAACUAGAAUUUAUGCUCCUGUGAAUAGGAGUCUGAGGUGGGAAAAUUCUGAAAAGGACAGUAGUGGUAUGUAGGCAAGGAACCCAGCUACCAGUCUCAACCUCCCUGGGGAGAGAGGAGAACAUUACCUUUACAUUGACAGUAUCUUUAAACAGCUCCCUACAUCAUAUCAUUGGACCCUGUACUUCUGACCCUGCUCAUUUUCCAUCAGGACACAAGGAGAGACUCUGCAUUGGGAGUGUGCAUGGAAGGAAGAAGGUCCAUAGAUGGAGAGGGGUCUGUAUCUCACAAACCUCGUAGGAUCCACAGGUGGGAUGUGACAGUCCCCAUGAAAGAAGCUGGCACAACGACUGCACUUGAAGAGUUUUCCUUCAUCCCCACAGACCUUGCAUUUCUCUGCUUUUUUCAGCUAAAAGAUAAAAUAAUGUAUGUAUCCCCAGUGAGACCCUGAAGACCAGCGCUGUGGGAAUCUGGAACUCAUUGAUUUUGUGGGAAACUUCAUGGACAAGUUAUGUACUUCUCCCUGAGCUGUGAACCAACUGCAUGGAGUGGAGUUUCAGAAAAAGAACUCUUGGUCUGUGGUGAAGUUCAGGAGGAAUGGUCUAUGUGACCAGAAAAGGUUUUCCUAUAAAACCAGAGUCUCUAACACAGAAAGACCAGCUACAAAAGAGAGGGUGAAUUUUAUAGAAAUGUGAACCAUUGUAUUACCUUUCAAAUAAAACAAGGUCCUGGAACAAAAA